rnacentral:piRNA from 1 species
UGAUGACAUCAUUUGCAAGGCUGUAAGGUC